AAAAUCCUUUUGCAACUGAAUUUUUUUGUGGUCAUUUAUCAGGAAAAUGUUAGCCUUGAGCUGGAAAAGUUGAGAAUUGAACUAAGACAAGCCCAAGGAAUGCAUGCAGUAGCUCAAAGCGAAAGCAUAAAUGCAUCAUGAAAGUUGAAUGAUCUCAGCAAGAGGCGAUCAGAAGAAUCCAUGAAACUGAAGGAGAUUCUUGCUAAGGAGGAAAUGGCCAAAGAAUUGGCAAGACAAGAAA